rnacentral:rRNA from 1 species
AUUGAACGCUGGCGGCAUGCCUUACACAUGCAAGUCGAACGGUAACAGGUCUUCGGAUGCUGACGAGUGGCGAACGGGUGAGUAAUACAUCGGAACGUGCCUAGUAGUGGGGGAUAACUACUCGAAAGAGGGGCUAAUACCGCAUGAGAUCUCCGGAUGAAAGCAGGGGAUCGCAAGACCUUGUGCUACUAGAGCGGCCGAUGGCAGAUUAGGUAGUUGGUGGGAUAAAAGCUUACCAAGCCGACGAUCUGUAGCUGGUCUGAGAGGACGAUCAGCCACACUGGGACUGAGACACGGCCCAGACUCCUACGGGAGGUAGCAGUGGGGAAUUUUGGACAAUGGGCGCAAGCCUGAUCCAGCAAUGCCGCGUGCAGGAUGAAGGCCUUCGGGUUGUAAACUGCUUUUGUACGGAACGAAAGGCCCUGGGUUAAUACCCUGGGGUCAUGACGGUACCGUAAGAAUAAGCACCGGCUAACUACGUGCCAGCCGCGGUAACAC